rnacentral:lncRNA from 1 species
CGGGGAUUUGUACAGGUAGACAGGUGAUGGAUCAUACUUGGGCGGUGGUGGGGACUUGUACUCGUACACUGGGCUUGGAUCAUACUUGGGAGGUGGUGGCGACUUGUACUCGUAGACCGGUGAUGGAUCAUACUUGGGAGGUGGUGGCGACUUGUACUCGUAGACCGGUGAUGGAUCAUACUUGGGAGGGGGCGGGGACUUGUACUCGUACACUGGAGAUGGAUCGUACUUGGGAGGGGGCGGGGACUUGUACUCGUACACUGGAGAUGGAUCGUACUUGGGAGGAGGCGGGGACUUGUAUCUCGUACACUGGAGAUGGAUCAUAN